GCAGUUGGUAGUUUCCAGCCACAGAUUCGAAUUGGCCAGGGUCAAAAUCUGUCAUUAGAGAUAAAACCUUGAAGUGAAGGCUGUUUUGAUGUUUGAAAUAUUUGUUGAUGUGAGUUUGUGAUUAACAAGUUUAAGAAUGGUAUGUUGCAGAAAUUCUGGCAGAUGCGAAUGUAAGCUUGAUGGCAUCAUUUUCAUAUAACUGCUUGAAAUGCAUAUAUACCACUAUCAGCAUUGAGCGUCUCGUGAACUGUCAAAUGUCAUAUAGGCCUCACACAGUUGAAAAUAGUGAAAAAAGUAAUCGGUAGACAGGUCUGCAUCUCGUAAGAUAUCGGAAGCCGUCCGACUUGGCCACAUCGCUCGGAAGUCCGAAGUACUAGAAAAAACCGCCAUCUGCUACCUUAAGACACUUGUCAAUUUUUGUCUGCAUCUCGUAAGAUAUCGGAAGCCGUCCGACUUGGCCACAUCGCUCGGAAGUCCGAAGUACUAGAAAAAACCGCCAUCUGCUACCUAAGGUAGUAGAUGUGUAAUAGAGUACCUCCUUUUUGAAGAGUAUUCAAUUCUUACCAUAAACCCACAUUUACUGCAAUUCUCAGGGGGGCGUAGGUUCAAGCCCUACUGGGACCAAAUUUUUUUCCCCUUAUUUUCGAUUUUUUCUAGUAAGUUUUUACUUCUUUCAAGACUUAUGAUAGAUUUAUUGUACAAAAAUGAAAAAAAAAACAUUUGCUAAGCGAUUUCUUGCUGUUCAAAGUGAAUUUACUACUUAAACAGAAGGGGUAGAGUUACACAUCUGUAAAAAUAUUGAGUUACAUGUGGUAAAAGUUCUCUAUUUUGCUUCCAUUCUUUAGAUUACAUAUUGUGGAAGAAAUUUAGGUAGGAUUUACAUCUGUCCCAAGGUAAUUUUUGAAUGAAGUAAGCAAAAUUCAAAACAGAAACAAGGAUUCGACCUAAUUUUUUCAACGUUGAAAUAAGAAUUCUGUAUCAUUAAAUCCGUUUACUUGAGGAACACUAUAUAAAAUGAUAUCCACAUUUUUAUUUUGUGUUUAAUAAUUGUUUAACAAUAGUUUGAUGAUUCUUUUAUUAAAAUUAAUGGUAAAAUGAGUUCUCUGCAAACAUUUUAUAUAGCGUCCAUCACUUUGAAAUUUUUCUCUACUUGAGCUAGAGGAGAUACCACAAGUUAUACAAAAUUUAGAAAAAACGGCAUGGUAAAAGUUGUUUAAAAUUUGCAAUGCAGUGCAAAACACGGUCAUCUUUAAGAAUAUACCAUGCAAAUGCCAUUUUGUAAACAUUGCUAUUACACCUCUACUACCUUA